AACUGGGAGCAGCUGGCCUGAAUGCAGCCAGAAGGCAGAUAUCAUCGCCAAUCCUGCCCAGCAGGGAGACAGGAAAGGGCCCAGCGCUCACAUACCAAACUGCGAGUGUGCAAACCGGCUAGGGCUUAGCAGUAGACUCGCUGACCCUCUGCCAUGUCUGGUAGAUUCCCACAAUGCAGAACCUGGAAAGAAACGACUCAUUCAGAAACCAGGAAGUAGUCUUUUAACUCCUUUCCCUUCUUCUCUGUUGUUUUUUGGGAGGACUGGGUUUUCCUUUUCAUUUUACUUGUCUUUUUCUCUUUGUUUUCCUUCUUUUCUAUGUUUUCUCAUUUGUUCUUUUCUGUUACUUAUACCUUAUUUUCUUUUGCUUUUUAAUUACAUACUUUAUCUCACUGCUAUCUGCUCCUUAUCUUUCUGGUUUUUAAAUUUUACUUCUUUUAUUUUACAUCUUUCAACUCCUUUGACUUUUAUCAGUACUCCUAUUCACUAACGCUUAGAUACUCAGUUGACACUAUGCUUUUAUUGUUGAAUUAUUUUCUAUUGUUAAUACCUGCAUACUGUUGCAGUCAGUAGACAUUUAUUUUAAUAUUCACUUUAUCUUUACAUCUAUAUUAUUAUUACAACUCUCUUCCAUUGUAAGGGUGAUAUAUACUGUUGCAUGUAUCAGUAUACUGGUUCUUAUAUGUCAGUAUCUAGGUGGUCUUUAGCUUGGUAUUGUUGCUGAUUUCUUUCCUGUUACCACUGGUGACAUAGUUGCUGCUCUUACUUGGUUUUUAUUGUAUGCCUCUCUGUUUUAUCUUUGUGGCACCAGCAGUGAUUUGGUUCAUUUCUGGAGAAUUAGGGAGGCACCAGCAUCACUACUGUUAUUCAUUCUGAAGGAGCCUAGCUCUUUACUUUCCCACCAGCAACAAAGAAGAAGAGUUCCCUUUCCCCUGCAGCCUUGCCAGCAUUUUGUAUUAUUUGAUUUCUUGAUGGUGCUGCUCUUUCUGGAGUAAGAUGUUUUAAUUUGCAUUUCUCUAGUGGCCAGAUAUAUUGGAAAAUCUUUUCAUGUAUUUGUUGGCCAUUUGUACUUCUUCUCCUGAGAAAUGUCUAUUUAUUCCAGUUGCUUGUGUUUUGACUGAGUCUUUUAUUUGGGAGGGUCUAAUUUUUUUAGUUCUUUGUACAUGAGAGAUAUUAGUCCUCUGCCUGAGGAGUAUCUUACAGAAAAUUUUUUCUCAUUCUGUAGACUGUCUCUUCACUCAAUUGCUUGUUUCCUUUGCUGCGCAGAAGAAUUUAGCUUGAUAUCAUCCCCUUUGUGGAUUUGUGAUGUUACAUCUUGUGUAAGUGACCUUCUGUUGAGAAAAUCUUUGCCUACGCCUAUGCCUUCAGGAAUUUCACCUAUGUCACCUUCCCGGAGAUUGUUUCUCUUUUAAUGCCUAGAUCUUUGAUUUACCUUGAUUUUAAUUUAGUGCUGUGAGAUGUAUCGGAAUAGAUUUGUCUGCAUUUGUAUAGGCAAUUAUCCCAGUAGCAAUUAUUAAACAGGUACCUCUUCUCCAGUGUAGGUUUUUGGCCCCUUUGUCAGAGAUCAGGCUGCUGAAUGUUCCUUAAGUAAAAACAGCGAUUUCAAAAAAGGCUUCAAAAGGUUUCAUUAUUUGUCUUAUUGACAAGCUGAGUACUGGAUUAUGAAUUGAAAAUUGUUUCCAUCAGAAUUUUAAAAGUACUUCUCUACUAUCUUCUUAUUUUAUUUGUUGAAGCAGAGAAGGCAUUUGCUUUGCGAAUUCUUGAUUGUUUCUCUGUGACUUUAUUAUGUGGUUUAUGUGAGAAUUCAAAAACAAUGGAUGUGUCAAAUAAUAGGUUAAUUUAUUCAUAUUGUUUCAUUCAUGUCAAAUAAUAAAACAUGUCCAUAUAAUUUAGCCAUUAAAACUCAUGUUUUAUAAAAAAGAUACCAUCAUAACAAAUUCAUCACGAUAAAAAGAUAUGUAUCAAUAUUUGAAACUACUGGAUAUUAAUUCACCAAAAUGUAAAAGUGACAUUGCUAACUGAAGAAAUUUAAAGUGUCACUUUUAUUUAGAGUUUAUUAAGAACAUCCUGAAGUCUGUGUUCAUUUUUACAGUUGGAUUUGACAUGUAUGUCUUAGUAAAGUCAAUAAUAAAUGUUAAUAAAAAUAAAGGAUCAGAUUAAAGCUUUAUAAAUGGAUUUUAAAUCUCAUAUCAUCACUUUAUCAUAAAUAUUUUAUAACUUACAGCAAAAUUAAAAAUUUGUCAGUCAACAACUGUAUCCCACUACCAGAUUACAUCGGCAGAAUCUCACUAAACUUUCUUCAUCUGCCCAUCCUCUAUCUAUCCUUUUGCUACUGCAUUUUUUUCUUAUUUUGGGGGUAACUCAAAAUAGGUAAUAUGUAUCUAUGUAUCUCUCUCUAAAUAUUUCAGCAGGCAUAUUAUUAACUAGAAUUCAAUACUGUUUGUAGAACUUUGAAGGUAAAAUUUAAAUACAGUAAACUUUACCAGUCUGAAGUAUGUAUUUACUCAGCUUUGACAAGUGGCUAAUACUGCAUAACCUCCACUGUUGUUUAGAUAAAACACUGCUGUUUCGUUUAAAAUGUAGUGAGACACAGACAACAAAACAAGUGCAUUCAGCUCCCUCCACCCCUUAGCUGUAACUGUCACAUGCGUUACAUCUGUAUACAUUGUAAACCUUUUAGUGUGGCAGUGUUUUGUGUAAAACUAUAAUCAGCAAUAUUUUGCUUACCAAUUCUAAUGCUCCCCUUCCCUGUCUCUUCCUCCCUACUCUACAUCUUCUCUCCUUCCUCCCUUCCUUCUUUUUUCUCCUUCCUUGCCUCCUCUCCUCUCUCUCCUCCCUUUUUCCCUCUCUCCUUUCUUUCUGAGUCAAAUUUCCUUCUGGGCUUAUUUCCGCUCUUCCUGAGCUCCCUUUAGCAACUCUUCCGGGGCAGAUCUGCUGAUAAGAAGCUCUCUGAAUUCUCUUUUAAUUUUCUAUCUGAAUAUUGUAUUUAUUGAAGAAUAUUUUGGGGACUAUAGAAUUUGGUGGUGGGAUUUUUGUUUAGCUUUGUUUUUGUUUGUUUAUUCUUGAGGCUCCUUACAGUGUCGUCUGGUCUCAGUCUUUCUGAUGAGGGCUUAGUUAGUUGUCACUCAAAAUUAUUUUUGCCCUACCCAUAAUUUGGGUUUUUUCCCCCUGGCUGUUUUCUGGACUUUUUCUCACUAUUUUUGGAUUUCAGAAGUUUGUGCUGUGACUUGGCAUUUGCUGAAUUUUUUCAACUAUAAAUUUAUAAUGUACACAAAAAUUGGAGAAAUUUGGGAGACUUCUAAAACUAUAUUUCUUUCUGUCCCAUCCUCUUUUAUUUCUCUCUUCUGGAGUUUUUAUUGUACAUAUCACAAGCAUCUGGAUAUUUUAUCAGAGACAUCUGAGGAUCUUUUUCCUUUUUUUGUCUUUUUUUAAAUCAUUUGCCUAUAAGCUAAUUCUGUAAGUUUAUUUCUGUAAGUUUAUUCCAAGUCCUAUGACUCUUUCCUCUGAAGCUACCUCCUGUUACGCCCAUAAAUACUGGGGAUCGAACUCAUGACCAUGCGUGUUAUGGUUUGAAAACUGGUGGUCAACUUAACGUCAGCUGGAUUACAUCAGCAUGCAUUGAGAGAAGAUGCUUCACCUGAGGAGGGUUGCCAGGAUAAAUAGGUGGAGAAGAAGAAAGGUGUUGGCAGGGAUUGAGGCGUAAAGGAGGCAUUGUGGGUUCUCUUACGAGUUGCUGUCUGAGCUGUUGGUUCUCCUGGAGAAGCUUUGGUCUUCACAUCGAGCAUUGCUUCCUGGCUCCGGAGGGGAAGACAUGUGCUGCCUGGUCUCCAGGAUGAACUCAUCACGCAGCUUCCUGGAACGUACCCGGCUGUGCUUGUUGUCGGAGGAGCUCGGGGCCUCCGUGUCACUGAGGACAGCUAUGGUGGCUUUCAGGACAGCCCCGCUCUUUGUUGUGAGUGUGACUUCUCGGCUCCAGUGUAGAACUCUCAUCCCAGUAGCACAGCUCCUUUAUCCUGCUGGCAUAGACUUUCUGGCUUCCACCGAUGACCCUUGGGUCUUCCUGGCACGAAUCCGUAAAAGAGACUGGCGUGUGUCCUUCUUGUGGGCUCUGGACCUCCAGUUGGACUCGUGGAGGCCUUGUUCUGAGCUCUGGGUUUUUAUCUGGACUCAUGUGGGACAUUGCCGUGGGGUUUAGACUCUUGACUAAAUAAUCUAUGUCGUUGGUGUUGCGGAUAGAUUUCCUGCAUUCUCCUGUGUUAAUUUCCAGUGACCAUUAUAAAAAUAUUAUAAACUCCAUGUCCUGAUCUGAAUUCUUCUCUGUGUACAACCCCUGACUACAGCAACGCGCUUGCAAGGCAGGCACUUAUGCCACUGAGCUAAAUCCCCAGCCCCCGCGUCCUUUUAUUUACCAGAAGUGCAUUUUCCUUUAUGUCAUUAUGUAUAGUUACAAUAGCUACUUUAAAAUAUUUGCAUGCUAUUUUCAAGAACUUA